ACGGGAGGCAGCAGUGAGGAAUAUUGGUCAAUGGGCGGAAGCCUGAACCAGCCAUCUCGCGUGAAGGAAUACGGCCCUACGGGUCUUAAACUUCUUUUAUAGGGGGAUAAAGUGAGCCACGAGUGGCUUUUUGUAGGUACCCUAUGAAUAAGCAUCGGCUAACUCCGUGCCAGCAGCCGCGGUAAUACGGAGGAUGCGAGCGUUAUCCGGAUUUAUUGGGUUUAAAGGGUGCGCAGGCGGCACGUUAAGUCAGCGGUGAAAUGUCGGGGCUCAACCCGGGCACUGCCGUCGAAACUGGCGAGCUCGAGUACGGAUGAAGUCGGCGGAAUGUGAUGUGUAGCGGUGAAAUGCUUAGAUAUGUCACAGAACACCGAUUGCGAAGGCAGCUGACUAAGCCGCAACUGACGCUCAUGCACGAAAGCGUGGGGAUCGAACAGGAUUAGAUACCCUGGUA
rnacentral:rRNA from 1 species